rnacentral:rRNA from 1 species
CUUUACUGCAACUUGGCAGUGAUUUUCGGGAUGUUCUGCGUAGGAUAGGUGGGAGGCUUUGAAGCCGGGCUUCUGGGUUCGGCUGAGCCAACGUUGAAAUACCACCCUGGAUAUUCUGGAAAUCUAACCUAGGCCCGUGACCCGGGUCGGGGACACUGCCUGGUGGGCAGUUUGACUGGGGCGGUCGCCUCCAAAAACGUAACGGAGGCGUGCGAAGGUUCCCUCAGCCUGAUUGGAAACCAGGCGUAGAGUGCAAACGCACAAGGGAGCUUAACUGUGAGACCGACAGGUCGAACAGGUGCGAAAGCAGGCGUUAGUGAUCCGGUGGUUCUGUAUGGAAGGGCCAUCGCUUAUCGGAUAAAAGGUA